UGCACAAUGAGGGACGUCUGCAGAGACUGAGAAAGAGUCUCACCACAUCCUGACAUGAGGAAAAAGACUUUAUUGAAGACUACAAUGAGAAAAACUAUCAGACAGCAGACGGCUGCAUUCAAGUCUGUAGCUGCUGAAUUCAUGGAUGAAUCAUCUGGCACUAGAGAGGAAGACCAUCAAACAUCCACGUCAGCUGAUGGAGGUCCAAGAGUCUCACCAAACAACCAACCUACAGAGUGAAGGCCUCAAAUCUGAUUGGACGGCCUCCUAUUCAGCCACAUGUGUGAACAAAUGCCUCUAAGCUGAUUUGUUUUCUAAAAUAAAUCUAGUUUGAGUCGGUUAUUAAAUGUCAAAACAAUCCACGUGACUCUAUAAACUCAACAGCUUUAAGAUUAAACUCUCCACAAGGAUCCAAAAUAAGUUGGACUUCUACAUGAGAGCUUUAAUUAUUCUUCAUCUAAUUCCUGAAAAGUUUGGUCAAUAAAAAAGACAAAAACUAAUAUUUUCAGCUGAACUAAAGACAGACUUUGUGAUUUUUCUGCUCACAUGUUGUGUUGUUGUAAACUUACUCUUUCAAAUAAAUAGCCGCCUAACCCCCUGGAAACCAGCGUUUGUCCUGUUUUUGUGUUGCUCUCGGCGACCCUAGACAGCCAGGUCCUAAUGUUUUUUGAGCAACACACCAUACUAUGACGUUUUUACAAUGAUGGUUCUACUAUGGAACCAGUUUGACAUGUUCAGGUGUUCUUUGUGUGAAAACUCAGAGAUUUCAGGUAUCAGAAGGUGGUUUUCAACUUUCUUUGUUAACUUUCUGCUUCAACUUUAAACUAAAUUUCCUUCACUAACCCAGCCCUCUGGACUUCCAGUAAGCUGUGUUCCUAUUGGCUGUCCAGGUGGCUGCUUGGUGUUAUCAGGAACACCUGAGCAGCUCAGUGUCUUCCUGCUUUAUUUAGCUGCAGUCAAACAUUUCCUCUGUUUCUCUUCACCACUGAACUGGGUUUGGCUCCAUUGCUUUAGUUUGUUCUUUAGGCGUUGGCUUGCAGCUUCCAGCAGUAAAAUCCUCUUUAAUGUGUUUCUUGGUGUGUUUU
ensembl:lncRNA